AGGUGAUUUGGAGAAAGGAGAGUACAAUGGGAGAAUGGAAAAGAGGAGAAGAAAUUGUGUUUAAACGAAUAUCAAAAGAUGACCGGGGAAUAUAUUCAUGUCUAGCACAAAACCAGUUAGGAGUGACGGGGCCUAAUAUUAUACAACUAGAUGUUCAGUAUCCCCCCACCCUUGUAUCCACUUCACCCUCUGCAGUAGCUAGAGCU